GAUGAACGCUGGCGGCGUGCCUAAUACAUGCAAGUCGAGCGAACAGACGAGGAGCUUGCUCCUCUGACGUUAGCGGCGGACGGGUGAGUAACACGUGGAUAACCUACCUAUAAGACUGGGAUAACUUCGGGAAACCGGAGCUAAUACCGGAUAAUAUAUUGAACCGCAUGGUUCAAUAGUGAAAGACGGUUUUGCUGUCACUUAUAGAUGGAUCCGCGCCGCAUUAGCUAGUUGGUAAGGUAACGGCUUACCAAGGCAACGAUGCGUAACCGACCUGAGAGGGUGAUCGGCCACACUGGAACUGAGACACGGUCCAGACUCCUACGGAAGGCAGCAGUAGGGAAUCUUCCGCAAUGGGCGAAAGCUUGACGGAGCAACGCCGCGUGAGUGAUGAAGGUCUUCGGAUCGUAAAACUCUGUUAUUAGGGAAGAACAAAUGUGUAAGUAACUAUGCACGUCUUGACGGUACCUAAUCAGAAAGCCACGGCUAACUACGUG
rnacentral:rRNA from 1 species